rnacentral:piRNA from 1 species
UAUAACCUUCGAUAAGCCCACAUCGCCUA